rnacentral:rRNA from 1 species
UACGUAGGGUGCAAGCGUUGUCCGGAAUUAUUGGGCGUAAAGAGCUCGUAGGCGGUCUGUCGCGUCGGCUGUGAAAACCCGAGGCUCAACCUCGGGCCUGCAGUCGAUACGGGCAAACUAGAGUACUGCAGGGGAGAAUGGAAUUCCUGGUGUAGCGGUGAAAUGCGCAGAUAUCAGGAGGAACACCGGUGGCGAAGGCGGUUCUCUGGGCCUUACCUGACACUGAGGAGCGAAAGCGUGGGGAGCGAACAGG